UUGACGCAAACGCGACACAAAUAGUAAAACAAAAUCAGUAGAAUAUGCACGUGUGUAUGUAUACACACAUACGGACACAUACACACGCACACACACAUACACAUACAUACACACACAUAUACACAAACACGUGUGUGUAUGUGUGUGUGUCUGUCUGUGUUUGUAUUCAAAUAUAUUUGCGUCACUUUCAGCAUUAUGACAUCGGCAACGUAAUAUUCCGUUAUUUCUAAGAAGACGUUAUUCGAAUCAGAAUAAAAAACGCUAACUGUGCAAAUAUGCAUAUACUUUGUUCUAGUUCAAGCUAGGAAGAUACAAGAGCGAAACUUUCCACAAUAACUUGCCUAGUAAAAUCUAACGAAGUCAGUCAGCUCAGAACCUAUGACAUUGAAAACUGUAAUUUUCCAGAAGAUUUUCGUCGAAGCAGAGACGGUGUGCCUUUUAUGAAAUCAGAGAUUUUCAAAGGUGAAUCAAAAUAUAAACACUUUGCAUUAUGGUAUCCAGAAAUAUAGAGAACCCUUCUAUUAGAGCUGGUGCAGGAAAAUGCGGAAGAAAGAGAUCAAGAAAACCAAGAUCCAGAAUGACAUAUUGCGUGGGAUGUUGUAGAAAAACGCCGACUUAUAAUUCCAAAGUUGUGAGGUUACAGAAUGGGGUUUGCGCACUGAAAGGAGGCUGCUCUAUAUGCACGUCGUUAAAAUAUAAAUUUGUUUCACCGAAGUUUGCAAGGAAGUGGAGGACGAUAUAAAUGAAUCCAUGUUGAAAUAUUUUUCGAUGAAUAAAGUAAAUCGACAUGCAA